ensembl:lncRNA
UUUUUUUUUUUUUUUUUUUUUUUUGGUUUGGUUUGGUUUUGUCCAACCAGCUGCUCAUUCUUGUUCAGUGCUGUUUGCUGUUGGAUAUAUUUAUAGGACAGUACUGUAAAGAGGAGCACCAACAGUCACUCUCAUUUUCAAAAUAUUCUCAAUGAAUAUGCAUUCUGAUUUACAGCAAGGUCUUCUGGAGGCUGCAUCAGCCAAACAUCUGUUGGAAUUUUUGAUAUUAGACCAAACACAGAGUAGGAUGCUGUACUUUUACCACUGCCCAGGUAAGAGAGGCAAAAUGGAUCCAGGUUGUCCUGUACACGGUGGCAAAUAUAGCUUCCAUGCUAUACAAGCGUUGUGGGCUCUAAUUUGACACAGAAACAGGGUCUCCCUCAGAGAGAAAAAGGAGGAGAAAAAAGCCAGUUAAAUACCUGGGGUUUUGCUAGGGAUCAGAAGUGUCCAUGAUAAAGCGAUCAGAUGGGAAGGCUGCCCUUUUCGCUACAAAGCAUAUUUUGGGUUUAUCUUCAGGUGGCAGGAAGCACAGUUAGUUCCCUGGACUUGUACUUGUGCUGUUGCUGAAGAACAGUUCCUUAGAUGAACAUGUGAGGUACCUUCUGAAACUUAAAAAUGGGCUGCUUCUCUCUCUUGCCUCCCUCCAGUUUUUUUGUUGUUGCUGUUUUUUUUUUGUUUGUUUGUUUUGUUUUGUUUUUUGAGAUUUCCAGGUGGCAAAGACAGCAUUUCCUUCUUUUAGGGUUUCUAGAUAAAUAAUUAUAGGAGCAGCUGAAGACUGAGUAGGAUGGUUCUCCUUUUGUAGGAAGCAAAAAUCCUCCCAGGUAAGGGGAAGGUAUAGUCACGAAAUGGUGAAUAAGCAUCUGGUUUAUGCCAUGAUCUGGCAAAGGAGCCUAUACGUAGCAUGAUGACUCCUGUCACCAGGAUUGCCUUGUUUCCUUUCUCAUGUAGCAAAUGAAUGUACUCAUUCACUGUGAGAGCCAUUCAGGGAUAGAGUUAAGCUCCAUGAACAGAGGGCUUGCACCCACAGGAACCACUCUGAAAGAGGAAUGUCCGUUUAAGCCUGGCCUUCUCCCAGCAUACCUUCAUUUGCCUUGUUAAUCGUGACAGCAACACCGCCAGUCAGCAUAAUUCCUUAUUAUAAACAAAGAAAUACGCACAAAUACCUAUUCAAAGUAGGAAAUGUGUGGAUUUUUUUUUCUUUUCUAUUCUUCUCUUUUCUUUUUCCACUUGCUUAAAUAAGCACAGCAGAGCUGUUUUUUAUCACGGUCCUGCUCCUGCAUUUUUCCAACCCAAUUAGGCCAUUACCAGGGCUAAAUGAGGCAUGGAGCCUUCAAAAGUCACACCGUCGUCCCGGAGAUGAAGCGCGUAGAGCUGCAGAGUUGGCAGGUAGGUGAGGUGAUGGGGCUCACUGGAGUGUGACCCCGGCUGUUUCUGUGUUCCAGAAAGAUCACCUUCAGAAUGAGGUGGGGAGGGAGGAAGUCAAUUGAAAAUAUUAAUUUUAAAAGGCACGGUGCUAACUAGGGGUUGCAAUGCUGUGGUCGAGUGAUGCAGCUGUGUUCACUGGGGAUGCGUAGAGGAUCGAAGUCAGCCUCCUCUCCCAUGUAACUAGCAGUAGGACUAGGGGGAACAGCCUCAAGUUGUGCCAGGGGAGAUUCAACUUGGACAUUAGGAAAUUCUUCUUCUCUGGAAGAGUGGUGAGGCGCUGGAAUGGGCUGCCUAUGGAUGUGGUUGAGUCACUGUCCCUGGAAGUGUUCAAGAAACAUGUAAAUGUUGUACUGAGGGUCAUGGUUUAGUGCAAAAUAUUGGUGAUAGGUGGAAGUUGGACUGGAUGAUCUUGGAGGUCUUUUUCAACCUUGGUGAUUCUAUGAUUCUAAGUGGGUCUUACUGCAGGGUGUUGAUGGUGAAUGUUCCCUGGUGCCACACUGGGGACUCUUCACUCUUCACAUGGAACUGAUGCAGAGGUUCAUCUGUCCUUCCCUGAAGCUCUGAUAACUCUUGCCAAUAUUUCUUCUGAUACAAACUGGGAAAACUUAUAUAUCUAACACAAGAAGAAAAAAGGCUCCAUUUAGAAAGACAAGGAAUGCAAAGCCAAGCAAUUAGGUUCACCAAAGACAAGCUUGGGAUCCCCUGCUAUGUUUCAGGGAGGAGCUCUGACAGAAGGAAUGAUGAUUUUCUGUCCCAUACCUUUUUAAACACUUCAGUUUUUGAGUACUGAAAGAAAAUGAGUGUUUGCACUUUUAUGCAUUCCAUUUUUGUACAACAAAGAGUGGACAAAGGCCUUUGCUCAGAAUGCAGAUUAUUUUAGGUUAAUAUCUUCACCUCAGUUCUGCUGUCACACUGAGCAAUAGGUUAGUUACCAGCUAAAUCACAUAAAACUUCUUUCAGAGUAUAGCAGUAGAAUCAGAUACAGUACUAAACUCACCAGCUGAAUUAAUCCCAAAGUGAGAAAGGUAGUCUUCCCAGCCUCCUUUGGUUUGAAAGCAUUAUAGAUCUGUUGAGAUAAAUAUAGUCAAAACAAUCCCAACCUUAAGCAUUAUUGGACAUGUUCUUCACGAUCUGCAGAAGUUUGAAAUGUUACUCCCACAUCAGCAUGUUCUUCACCUCUGCAGUCUUCACAGCAAGUACUGCGCUCCUAAUCUGCUUCAGUCCCAAAUCUAGCUCAUUUAGUCAAUUUCACCUUCAUUGUAGUUUGAGCUAAGACGCCAAAAUUUGCAGGAAAAAGCUGAGGGGAAGGCUCAUGAUCUGUCAUAAUGAAUUCAGAGCUCCUUAUGACCUCUAAUGGGGGGUACAAUAAAAAAUCACAGCUGAGAUUGUGAUAUCUUAUGAAACUGCGUGAUAGGGAAUUUCCAAUAGGGGAAUAUCACACAGGGAUAAAUAUUUUGUUCACAGGGAUGUGUGUCUCCCAGUUGUGCAAAGAAAUGAGCUUCAAUAACUUUAAUAUGUUGAUUAUUUUAUUCUAAGGUUGAUUUUUAGGGUCAAUUUUCACAAAAUUGCUUAGGUCAUUAACCAACUGUUAACUAGUGGAUCUAGAAAUGUUGCUUAAGACACUAAUGCUACAAUUAUGUAGCACCAUAUUGUUGAAGCAGGUAUCACUGGGUACUUCUAGAGGCAGGAUCUCAUACCAAAUGGUAUUAGAUGCUUUGAAUGCUGCUUUGAGUACAGAUGGCAAUUUCUGUAAUCCUUAUUAAUUACAAGGGGGAAAAAGUAUCUGUAUUCUGUAAAGAAUCUAUGUUGAAUUAC